ensembl:lncRNA
AAGCUGUUGUUUAACAAAGCCUCUGUUCAAGCAUGGCUGAUCUGUUAUGACAGUCAAACCUUAAUGUCAUCCUUCUGCCUCAUCACUUAUUAUGAGUUCUACUCUCUGAUGAUAUUAUCACUCCUAAACUGCUUGUGUGUAAUCUAUGGACAGAAUGGAAGCAUUCUUGACCUGGAUAUUGUCAUCUUUACGGAAGUCUUUGUGAUGUCUUCAUGCAAGCAAGUUCCGCGGAUAGGAAUGCCAGCCCUGCCCGAGCCCUGCACCCCGGCACUGCCUCCAGAGCCUGAGCUAGACUCCAACCCCAGCCUGCUGUGUGGUGGCAGACACCGUCAACGCUGGAGAGAAAGGUUUAUACAACAGAAAGAAUCACAGGAGUUUGCUCAUUUGCGAUGGCAAAAACCUGCAAUCUGUGCGGAAGUGAUUUCUGAGGAUGUCAGACCAAGAAGAGAGAAGCUUAAUUUUAGAUCAGGUUGAUUAUUUUGCAUUGGGUGUACUUGCCAGAGAUUCUGAGUUCAAUAUGCUCACUUGAGCAGCUCAGCAUAUUUGAUAGAAAUGUGGGAAUGUUAGCCAAUAGCUAUCAUACUCAUAGCCAUACCCACAGCCCUAGCCAAUGCUUAAGCUGUGAUGCCAGAAAUUUCUUGGGAUGAUGUAGAGAAAUGGAAGUAAAGAUAAGGAAAUAUUGGGGUAUCUUUACAAUGUGUAAAUCACACAUCUACAUCUAGUCAUGUCCCCCAAGUGAGACUAAAGUACCAUUCCUUCAGUGAGGCACUACCUUCAUCAAGAAAUAUAUAUAUAUAUCUGCUAAUCUCAAACUCCCAUUCCAUCCCUUCCCUACCCACCUCCCCCCAGCAACCACAAGUCUGUUCCCUAGGUCUGUGAGUAUGCUUUUGUUUUGUAGACAUGUUGAUUUGGAUUGUAUCUUAGAUUCCACAUAUAAGUGAUGUCAUAGGAUGUUUGUCUUUCUGAUGUGCUUCACUUGGUAAGAAAAUCUCUAGGUCCGUCCGUGCUGCUGCAGAUGAUGGAUAAACAACAAGGUCCUACUGUAUAACACAGGGAACUAUAGUCAAUAUCCUGUGACAAGCCAUAAUGGAAAAGAAUAUGAAAAAGAAUAUGUGUGUGUGUGUGUGUGUGUGUGUAUGUGUACCCACAUAUAUAUAUAUAGUUUGUGUGUGUGUAUAUAAUUGAGUCAUUUUGCUGUACAGAAGAAAUGAACACAAUGUCAUAAAACAGCUAUAGUCCAAUAAAAUUUUUUUAAAAAGAAACACCUUGAAAAGUGCCAGAGUGACCAUCAUCUGAGGGUAAUGGCUCCCUGAUUUCUCUGGGGGUGAUGGGGUCCCAGGAGGCAAAGUCCAAGGACAGGACCAAAGACGGAGGCAAAAUGGCUAUGGUUACCAUAAUAGGCGGCAGAGCUGGAACAAUGAUCUUGGGUUUUGAAUGUCACUGAUGUUUGGCAGUGGUAAACAGUACAAGAUGUGCCUAAGACUGAAAGAAAUGUGUAGGCCUAUUAUACUCCUCCUUGGUCUGGGUAAACUGACACCAAAACAAAAGCAAAAUUCUAGGUGACCUGAGUAAUUCUCACCCUUUACUGGUUUAUAGACCCACAGCCCGUAGAGCAGGUACUCUAUGAUAGUGCUACAAUCACUGUUCAUCUUUCUAUUCCCCUAAAAAAGGCAGUCUGACAUAUUCUUGCAGUCAUCUGUCAGGAAAAUGGUUGUGUCCAGGAGAAAGGAACCACCCAGAUCUCUGUGGG